UCCGUUGAACAACAUAGAUGCAUCGAGUUGAGUCUUAGUGACGGCCCUUCAUCUAUCAAAGCAUGAAGGGGGAAGGAGAAAAAAAAAAAAAAAAAAAUUCAAGCUGACUGGAACGGCAGCUACAGGCGGUAUCUCACAUACUCAUAAUCACAGGGAUGACGCAAACGGUGGCAGUCCGCAACAAAACAGUACCUGCAGAUGAGUCCGACUUCAGGGUGGCAUAGUGGUCCCGUAAGCGCUUUUGUCUCAUAGCAAGAAGCUCCUAUAGGUGCUGUGCCAUCAUCCUCCCUGCAUCUCAGCCCAGCUUCAUUGAAAAUCAUCAUUGAAGGAGAAGUGGUGAUGGACAACAUUCAAGACUUGCCAAAAGUUAAGUGCAUUCUCUUUGGACUUUCAUACGCAAUGCAUCUCACCUACCCCAGGUCUAUGAAGCUCACGUUCCAGUUUAUCCAACAGGUACUUCUAGAGCUGGGCCACAGUGAAAUUAAACCAAAGUUAUAAACAUUAAAAAACCAGCUUGCGAUGUAAAGCAAUGUUGUCUUGUGUGUUGUGCUACACCUGCAGGUUCUGCCACAGUUUUUACUGUUUAAGAAAGUUUACAAUGUUAUGAGAGACGUGAAUGUCCACCCAUUUGUGCUCUAUACAGUACCAGAUAUAUUGGCGGAUGCUCAGGACUGAGUAGUAACACUCAGUUAAUAUAAUGCAGUUAAAGGAAAGUUUGGCAUUUUUCAUGUAAAUGCCCAUUCUGUGUGCUCGAUUGACCAAAACGAUUUCCUGCUCAUGGGGCUGUGCAGUAGUGCCUUCAUAAAUCCACAUCUGCUGCACUCCUUGCCUGUCCAGAGGGCAAUCUAGAAAUGUAUGUUGAAAUAACAUGUAGUUCCUCCUUAACAGAAACAUGACUACAUAUUUUGCAAAAUAAGUUUUCUCAAACAAUUUAGCAGCACAGGGAUUUAUUGCAAAAUCUUCCCUUUUAACACAGUUCAUUUGUCCUUAUUCAAGUUGAAAAUUUAGAACAUUACGUCCAGUUUUAAUGUGUCAAGUUUUUCACAAGCAUACAUAUAAUGUUGAAUGCUGCUCAAUUUGUAUUCCUUCUCUAAUAAGAAUUGAUGUCAAGCACUUUUAAUGCCUAUAUUUCUUGCCUUUUAGAUGGCAAGCUUUUUUUUUCAGUGGCUACUGUUUCAAUACCAUUUUUG